rnacentral:pre_miRNA from 2 species
AUACAAAUCUCCUGGAGAUCUUGUUAAAAUGCAGAUUCUGAUUCAGCAGGACUGGAUGAGGCCUGAGAUUCUGCAUUUCUAAAAACCUCCCAGGUGAUGUUGAU